CAGUGAUAAACUGGAGGAAGGUGGGGAUGACGUCAAGUCAUCAUGGCCCUUACGACCAGGGCUACACACGUGCUACAAUGGCGCAUACAAAGAGAAGCGACCUCGCGAGAGCAAGCGGACCUCAUAAAGUGCGUCGUAGUCCGGAUUGGAGUCUGCAACUCGACUCCAUGAAGUCGGAAUCGCUAGUAAUCGUGGAUCAGAAUGCCACGGUGAAUACGUUCCCGGGCCUUGUACACACCGCCCGUCACACCAUGGGAGUGGGUUGCAAAAGAAGUAGGUAGCUUAACCUUCGGGAGGGCGCUUACCACUUUGUGAUUCAUGACUGGG
rnacentral:rRNA from 1 species